rnacentral:rRNA from 1 species
AUUGAACGCUGGCGGCAUGCUUUACACAUGCAAGUCGAACGGUAACAGGCCGCAAGGUGCUGACGAGUGGCGAACGGGUGAGUAAUGCAUCGGAACGUGCCCAGUCGUGGGGAUAACUACUCGAAAGAGUAGCUAAUACCGCAUACGAUCUAUGGAUGAAAGCGGGGGACCGUAAGGCCUCGCGCGAUUGGAGCGGCCGAUGUCAGAUUAGGUAGUUGGUGGGGUAAAGGCUCACCAAGCCAACGAUCUGUAGCUGGUCUGAGAGGACGACCAGCCACACUGGGACUGAGACACGGCCCAGACUCCUACGGGAGGCAGCAGUGGGGAAUUGUGGACAAUGGGCGCAAGCCUGAUCCAGCAAUGCCGCGUGCAGGAAGAAGGCCUUCGGGUUGUAAACUGCUUUUGUACGGAACGAAACGGCUCUGGUUAAUACCCGGGGCUAAUGACGGUACCGGAAGAAUAAGCACCGGCUAACUACGUG